rnacentral:rRNA from 1 species
UUGUGCGAAGGUAGCAUAAUCAUUAGUCUUUUAAUUGAAGGCUUGUAUGAAUGGUUGGACAAAAAGUAAGCUGUCUCAAUUAUAAUAAUUGAACUUAACUUUUAAGUGAAAAGGCUUAAAUAAAUUAAGGGGACGAUAAGACCCUAUAAAGCUUGACAAUAAUUUAAUUAUACUAUCAAUUGUUAGUGUAACUUGGUUUUAGUUAAAAUUUGUUGCGUUGGGGCGACGAGAAUAUAAUAGGUAACUGUUCUUAAAUAUUUAAUAACAAAUAUAAUUGAAAAUUAGUGUGAUCCUCUAUUAGCGAUUAAAAGAUUAAGUUACUUUAGGGAUAACAGCGUAAUCUUCUUUGAGAGUCCACAUCGACAA